CUAGGGUAAUACCGGUAACUGGGGCUAAGUCGUAACAAGGUAGCCGUACCGGAAGGUGCGGCUGGAACACCUCCUUUCUGGAGCGAA
rnacentral:rRNA from 2 species